rnacentral:rRNA from 1 species
UACGGAGGGUGCAAGCGUUAUCCGGAUUCACUGGGUUUAAAGGGUGCGUAGGUGGGCAAGUAAGUCAGUGGUGAAAUCUCCGGGCUUAACCCGGAAACUGCCAUUGAUACUAUUUGUCUUGAAUACUGUGGAGGUCAGCGGAAUAUGUCGUGUAGCGGUGAAAUGCUUAGAUAUGACAUAGAACACCAAUUGCGAAGGCAGCUGGCUACACAAAUAUUGACACUGAGGCACGAAAGCGUGGGGAUCAAACAGG